rnacentral:rRNA from 1 species
GACGAACGCUGGCGGCGUGCUUAACACAUGCAAGUCGAACGGAAAGGCCCUGCUUUUGUGGGGUGCUCGAGUGGCGAACGGGUGAGUAACACGUGAGUAACCUGCCCUCGACUUUGGGAUAACUUCAGGAAACUGGGGCUAAUACCGGAUAGGAGCUCCUGCUGCAUGGUGGGGGUUGGAAAGUUUCGGCGGUUAGGGAUGGACUCGCGGCUUAUCAGCUUGUUGGUGGGGUAGUGGCUUACCAAGGCUUUGACGGGUAGCCGGCCUGAGAGGGUGACCGGCCACAUUGGGACUGAGAUACGGCCCAGACUCCUACGGGAGGCAGCAGUGGGGAAUAUUGCACAAUGGGCGGAAGCCUGAUGCAGCAACGCCGCGUGCGGGAUGACGGCCUUCGGGUUGUAAACCGCUUUCGCCUGUGACGAAGCGUGAGUGACGGUAAUGGGUAAAGAAGCACCGGCUAACUACGUG